GGUAAAACACUCAAUUGAAAAGGUUGAUCCCAGAGAAUAAAGAGGAUUAAGUGCCGGGCAGCGGAGAAAAGCAAGGACAAAAAUGAAAAAAAAAAGAAAAAGAAACGAAGGAGAAGGAUGGAGAAAAGGAAUGAGGAAAAGAAAUGAGGAUAGGAAGAAUGAAAUUCGGUGUCAGGUUUGUGAAGGACUGUGUAUACAACUCCAGUACUUAUUGCGCAGGGCGUUGGCGUUGAGCAGACCACAUUGAAGAAGAGAAAGUGCGAGAGAGAGAGAUAUAGAUAACAGGGGGUGGUGGAUAUCAGGGGUGGGGGUGUGGAAAAUCCUAGGGUGGGCAAACCGGAGACGAGCGUAUCUCCCAGUCACUGUCGACACCGACACGCAAUAACGUGAAUUCUUGUGCGCACCCCCCUUUCACCCAAUGAUCAAGUGACCAAAAGAAAAAAAAAUAAAAUAAAAUUUAUUUUUUAUUUCGGUUCUCAUUUGAGUUUACAAAAAAAAAAAAUAAAAUUGGUUUUAAAAUCGUACAAAAGUGAUUUUUUAACAUAAUCUCUACUAAUUUACCAACUGCGUGUCUUCUUUAAAACAAACAAACAAACAAUAAAAAUUGAAAAAAUUAAAAGCAUUAACAAUAACUAACCCGCAAUCAAGCUAAAGCAUUAUGUCUUCACAAAGGAAACCUCAUCGUCACAAGUCUUGAAAGGAGAAAGCACAAUAAAGUGGUCUUUCAGAAAAAAUCGACGUGGUGGUGGGAAUUGAGGAGAAAAUAGAGUCAAGUCAAGUUCAUCUGACUGAGAGAAAAAGAGAAGCAAGCUACGUGGGAGGGACUGAAAUUGUAUUCCUGGGCCCGUCGUGGUGUUGUCCG